rnacentral:lncRNA from 1 species
UCUCCUCAUUCCGCAAUUCAGAGCCUAGUUACUUUAUGAGCCAAUAUAUGCAUCAAUUCAGGAUCCUCCAGUGUAUAAACUGGUACUUUCAAAUCACAUUGCAGCUUUUUGUUGAAGAAACAAUUUGCACAUUCAGUUACAUCGGCAUGAGCGUCGGUGCAGCUGACAUCGUGCUCUCCUAAUAGCCAUUUAUGCAGGGCGAAAAGUUGCAUUACAAAAAGAAAUAGAUAUCGAAGACAGUAUCAUGGGUUGAAUCAAGAUGUCAACAUGUGGCUGCAAACUUGCAGUUCCUACAGGAUUAAACAAAAAAUAACAUAUAUUGCCUAAUUGGGCCAGGCGUCACAGCGGCGUUAGUCCAUAAUAUGGAAUCAGCACGGAGUAGGCCCAGAGAGCGGUGGCGGCUGCGAGACGGGGCGACGGCGUCGGUCUGCUUGCCUCGGUAAUGUAUAAAUUGGUAUAAUUGUACCCUCAACCUGAACAUAGGCUCCUACAGUACACCCAUUUCUAAUUUUAUGUAUAACUGAGAGCCAUUUAUAUGCCCAAAUCUGAUCUUAGAAAGAGUAUGGAUCAGAUUUAGCUCUUAGAUAUAUAUACCUAAAUUAAGCAAGCAUUCAGAUAUGACAUUCGUUUCCAGAGCAACAUAGGAAUAAUUCUUAACUCCCAACCGAAGGCUUUACCAUAUUUUCAGGGAUUUGCGUGCAAACUUGUUUAGUCAUCAAUCCACAAUAUAUGUAUUUCUAUUUCUUUGUAACCCUUUUGUUUUCUUGGCGCAAAAAAAAUUUAUAGUAGGGCCAUGCCUUACUGUUCCGGGUAACAAAAAAAUGUCAAUCUAUUAACCAGUGUAAUCAAUCAUGUUUGGAAAUAAUGGUACAUAGGAUCUGGGUCGUUGGUUCUUUUGGAUGAAGUGGUAGGACCUGGGCUUAAUCUACGAAUUUAACAAAUUGUUUAUAAACAGAAUGAUCUUGCUUUUGGAGAGUUGAAUCAGCUCACCUUCACGCAGGAAAAAAUGAUGUGUUACGAUCUACAGAGCUCCCCUCGACUAUAGAAUCCAAUUCACUGGCCUCGAUCGCUCUGUCGCAGUUCCAACCAACCCAUCAACAGUGAGCUCUAACAGA